rnacentral:rRNA from 1 species
UACAGAGGUCCCAAGCGUUGUUCGGAAUCACUGGGCGUAAAGGGUGCGUAGGUGGUCAUUAAAGUUUGAUGUGAAAGCUCCGGGCUCAACUCGGAAAGGGCAUUAAAAACUCAAUGGCUGGAGGGUUGGAGGGGAGACUGGAAUUCUCGGUGUAGCAGUGAAAUGCGUAGAUAUCGAGAGGAACACCAGUGGCGAAGGCGAGUCUCUGGACAACACCUGACACUGAGGCACGAAAGCUAGGGGAGCAAAC